ensembl:snoRNA
GGGGUGUGCUCAGAGCAGGGGGGCAUAAGAAUGGUUCCUCUAUUUAUAAAACACCCGACAGGAAUCUAGGAUCAUUGUGAUGAGGGCACAAAAUUUGUGGCCUCCCUACAAACAAAUUCCCUAUGUAU